rnacentral:rRNA from 1 species
UACAGAGGAUGCAAGCGUUAUCCGGAAUGAUUGGGCGUAAAGCGUCUGUAGGUGGCUUUUUAAGUCCGCCGUCAAGUCCCAGGGCUCAACUCUGGACAGGCGGUGGAAACUACCAAGCUGGAGUACGGUAGGGGCAGAGGGAAUUUCCGGUGGAGCGGUGAAAUGCGUAGAGAUCGGAAAGAACACCAACGGCGAAAGUACUCUGCUGGGCCGACACUGACACUGAGAGAUGAAAGCUAGGGGAGCAAAUGGG